GCGGGUGUAGCUCAGUGGGUUAGAGUGCCGGCCUGUCACGCCGGAGGUCGCGGGUUCGAGCCCCGUCACUCGCGCCA
rnacentral:tRNA from 1 species